rnacentral:rRNA from 1 species
AACGAACGCUGGCGGCAGGCUUAACACAUGCAAGUCGAACGCAUCCUUCGGGGUGAGUGGCAGACGGGUGAGUAACGCGUGGGAAUCUACCCAUCUCUGCGGAAUAGCUCCGGGAAACUGGAAUUAAUACCGCAUACGCCCUACGGGGGAAAGAUUUAUCGGGGAUGGAUGAGCCCGCGUUGGAUUAGCUAGUUGGUGGGGUAAAGGCCUACCAAGGCGACGAUCCAUAGCUGGUCUGAGAGGAUGAUCAGCCACAUUGGGACUGAGACACGGCCCAAACUCCUACGGGAGGCAGCAGUGGGGAAUAUUGGACAAUGGGCGCAAGCCUGAUCCAGCCAUGCCGCGUGAGUGAUGAAGGCCUUAGGGUUGUAAAGCUCUUUUGUCCGGGAAGAUAAUGACUGUACCGGAAGAAUAAGCCCCGGCUAACUUCGUGCCAGCCGCCGCAGUAAUAC